rnacentral:rRNA from 1 species
GAUGAACGCUGGCGGCGUGCCUAAUACAUGCAAGUCGAGCGAACAGACGAGGAGCUUGCUCCUCUGACGUUAGCGGCGGACGGGUGAGUAACACGUGGAUAACCUACCUAUAAGGCUGGGAUAACUUCGGGAAACCGGAGCUAAUACCGGAUAAUAUAUUGAACCGCAUGGUUCAAUAGUGAAAGACGGUUUUGCUGUCACUUAUAGAUGGAUCCGCGCCGCAUUAGCUAGUUGGUAAGGUAACGGCUUACCAAGGCAACGAUGCGUAGCCGACCUGAGAGGGUGAUCGGCCACACUGGAACUGAGACACGGUCCAGACUCCUACGGGAGGCAGCAGUAGGAAAUCUUCCGCAAUGGGCGAAAGCCUGACGGAGCAACGCCGCGUGAGUGAUGAAGGUCUUCGGAUCGUAAAACUCUGUUAUUAGGGAAGAACAAAUGUGUAAGUAACUAUGCACGUCUUGACGGUACCUAAUCAGAAAGCCACGGCUAACUACGUG